AGUGAACGCUGGCGGCAGGCCUAACACAUGCAAGUCGAACGGCAGCACGGGGGAGCUUGCUCCCUGGGUGGCGAGUGGCGGACGGGUGAGGAAUACAUCGGAAUCUACCCUGUCGUGGGGGAUAACGUAGGGAAACUUACGCUAAUACCGCAUACGACCUCCGGGUGAAAGCAGGGGAUCGCAAGACCUUGCGCGAUUGGAUGAGCCGAUGUCCGAUUAGCUAGUUGGCGGGGUAAAGGCCCACCAAGGCGACGAUCGGUAGCUGGUCUGAGAGGAUGAUCAGCCACACUGGAACUGAGACACGGUCCAGACUCCUACGGGAGGCAGCAGUGGGGAAUAUUGGACAAUGGGCGAAAGCCUGAUCCAGCCAUGCCGCGUGGGUGAAGAAGGCCUUCGGGUUGUAAAGCCCUUUUGUUGGGAAAGAAAACUUUCCGGUUAAUACCCGGAGAGAAUGACGGUACCCAAAGAAUAAGCACCGGCUAACUUCGUG
rnacentral:rRNA from 1 species